rnacentral:rRNA from 1 species
UACGGAGGGUGCAAGCGUUAAUCGGAAUUACUGGGCGUAAAGCGCGCGUAGGCGGCUUGAUAAGCUGGAUGUGAAAGCCCUGGGCUUAACCUGGGAACUGCAUUCGGAACUGUCUGGCUAGAGUAUGGUAGAGGGUAGUGGAAUUUCCUGUGUAGCGGUGAAAUGCGUAGAUAUAGGAAGGAACACCAGUGGCGAAGGCGGCUACCUGGACCAAUACUGACGCUGAGGUGCGAAAGCGUGGGGAGCAAACAGG